UCAUUCGCCCUGAAUAUGCCCCGCCUCCGGACAGCGCACUGUCAGUUAGCGGACUCAUUAUGGACACUGCUCGGAUUAGCAAUCCUCCUCAGAGUGGAGAAGCUGCGGCCAGUUUGAAGAAGACUGAACUCGCUUUACAGCUCAUUCAAGUGCUCCAGUCUGGUUUUUGAUUCUACAUCAUCCUUCAAUAUCCUACUUCAUCUUUAAAAGUUAUCAUAGUCAGCCGGAUCCGGUCCGUAUCCAGAUCAGAUGAUGGACCUGCACCCUGAGACGACCACAACGCAGCCCUGAAUGUCAGCGAAGACCACAACAAGUGAACAUCACGACUGGACUGACAUCAGCACAGAUCCUCAGCAAAGACCACGAGAAACAGACAAGUCCUUUGCACAGACCCCUAUGGCCAGCAAUGAACGUGUCAGGCCAGGAGCUGCUAGGACCACAAUGCAGUUUUAUCCUGCUUAUAGUCACUGUUAAUCCAGUCGUCCACUACUGGCUAAACGGCAGCCCUGCUGGACAGACUACAACUUCUCCUCUGAUCAAAUGACAGCAUGACGUAUCCUGAUCUUCAAGCAGUAGGAGCUGGAUGAAAUAUUCUGAAUGACAUCAGUCCACAAUCUCACUAGUGAAGCAGCCUGAAAUCAUAAUCACAUCAUCUUUGUUCAUUUAACCAGAGGAGAGCUGAGCUGACUGCUCCUGGUUUCUCCCAAGCUGUUUUUUUCUUCGUUUCAGUCACCAGCUGAAGUUUGGGUUCCACUGUCACCUCUGGAUUGCUUAGCUGGGGUUUAAAAGGCACUGAAUAUUCAAGAAUAA